rnacentral:rRNA from 1 species
UGCAAGUCGAACGAUGAAGCCCAGCUUGCUGGUGAUGGAUUAGUGGCGAACGGGUGAGUAACACGUGAGUAACCUGCCCUUGACUCUGGGAUAAGCCUGGGAAACUGGGUCUAAUACCGGAUAGGAACGUCCACCGCAUGGUGGUUGUUGGAAAGAUUUAUCGGUCAUGGAUGGACUCGCGGCCUAUCAGCUUGUUGGUGAGGUAAUGGCUCACCAAGGCGACGACGGGUAGCCGGCCUGAGAGGGUGACCGGCCACACUGGGACUGAGACACGGCCCAGACUCCUACGGGAGGCAGCAGUGGGGAAUAUUGCACAAUGGGCGAAAGCCUGAUGCAGCGACGCCGCGUGAGGGAUGACGGCCUUCGGGUUGUAAACCUCUUUCAGUAGGGAAGAAGCGAAAGUGACGGUACCUGCAGAAGAAGCACCGGCUAACUACGUGCCAGCAGCCGCGGUAAUACGUAGGGUGCGAGCGUUAUCCGGAAUUAUUGGGCGUAAAGAGCUCGUAGGCGGUUUGUCGCGUCUGUCGUGAAAGUCCGGGGCUUAACCCCGGAUCUGCGGUGGGUACGGGCAGACUAGAGUGCAGUAGGGGAGACUGGAAUUCCUGGUGUAGCGGUGGAAUGCGCAGAUAUCAGGAGGAACACCGAUGGCGAAGGCAGGUCUCUGGGCUGUAACUGACGCUGAGGAGCGAAAGCAUGGGGAGCGAACAGGAUUAGAUACCCUGGUAGUCCAUGCCGUAAACGUUGGGCACUAGGUGUGGGGACCAUUCCACGGUUUCCGCGCCGCAGCUAACGCAUUAAGUGCCCCGCCUGGGGAGUACGGCCGCAAGGCUAAAACUCAAAGGAAUUGACGGGGGCCCGCACAAGCGGCGGAGCAUGCGGAUUAAUUCGAUGCAACGCGAAGAACCUUACCAAGGCUUGACAUGUUCUCGAUCGCCGUAGAGAUACGGUUUCCCCUU